rnacentral:lncRNA from 1 species
AUGGUCACAGGCCUCAUCGGUCACUUCCACCUUGACGCCGGGAUUCAAAGGCUUUGAUCCCUCCAGUCCUAGAAUAGCUUCCCACCCUCUGCGGUGCAAAGCACUUUUCAGGUGCCUUACCUUAUUUGAUUCUGAGAUACGGGGUUAUCCCCCCUCCGAGAUGAGAACACCCAGGACCAGAGAUGUGAGACAAUUACCUCUGCUCGGCCGACUCCUAAGAGGCCAGGCUACAGGUCCUCUGGCAUCAGAACCCACGUGAUCUUCCCCACCGCCUGCUGCCUCUUUUUGGGGGGCAGACGAGGCGAGCUGGGCGGGUCCUGGGGCCGCUACCAGGGAUGCUGGGAGUGACAGCGGAGAGGAGAGCUUGGAAGCAGCUCUGGUAGCCUCUUUCUGAUGUCACAUUCAGCACAAGGGAGCCAUUAUGCUGAUUGUCCUCUUUCCUGGGCAAAAAAGAACAGCAAACCCAAAGUGACAAGUGGGAAGACUGUUUGGAAGGUCUGAGGGGGCCCAUUCCAGGCGGGGCGUGGGUGCGGGGAGGAGGGUUGCCAGGUGAGCAGACAAUUUGGAUUUUGUCCUUCAAUGGCUGGCUGUGUGAUGCCAGGAUCCGGGGAGAAGAAAGACAGGGCCGUCCAAUGUGCCGUAAAGACCGCUCAGCUGACCGGUCUUGCGGCCUCCAGGAAUCAGCUGAAGGUAGUCUUUGUCUCUCUCCACCGGCCUGGCCUGAUUUGAAAUCCCCUGAGAUAGCCAGUUGGGGUUGCAUUCACUUUUCGUGAUUGGCCUGUGUCUCCCCAUCUAGGGAUUGGAAAAUGCACGACCAAAGGCCAUCAAAAGAGACAGAAGAGAGGGCCCUUCUUUUUCCUCUCGUCUCUGUCGACCCAGAGCUGGGAGCAAUGGAGAACAGAUAGAAAAUGUGCUGGUAGAUGGACGGAUGGACGGAUGGACAGGAAACAACAGGGGAGAUCACAGAAGCCCGGAGCCCAGGAAGUACCAGUGUGGGGACUUCAGAGAAUAGAACAGAUCCCAAAAUUGGGACUUUGGUCUCACGCACGCAACUCAGACGAGCCACGCGGCCUGAGGCAGCCGCCUACUGUAGCUUGAAUGCUCAUUAAACGUUUGGUAAAUGGACCACCGGCUGUUCUGUGCCCUCACGGGACACUUGUGUGGCAUCAUCCCAAAAUCUCUUCGACGUCUCCGCUGGAGAAAGCACGUGCAGU